rnacentral:tRNA from 1 species
GGCGAAGUAGCUCAGUGGUUAGAGCGGUAAUUCACUGACCGGAAGGCCCUUGGUUCGAACCCGACCUCUGCCU